rnacentral:rRNA from 1 species
UUAGAGGAAGUAAAAGUCGUAACAAGGUCUCCGUUGGUGAACCAGCGGAGGGAUCAUUAAAGUGGUUAACACUAGUUCUUUGUGGAUUUAUUUAAAUGCCUUGGCAGUUUUUCUGCCAAAAUUUCUAUUUACUUGAUUUUCUGAGUUUAUACCAAAUGUUAAAAACUUUCAGCAACGGAUCUCUUGGCUCUAGCAUCGAUGAAGAACGCAGCGAAAUGCGAUAAGUAAUGCGAAUUGCAGAAUUCAGUGAGUCAUCGAAUCUUUGAACGCACAUUGCGCCUGCUAGAAAUCUAGCAGGCAUGCCUGUUCGAGCGUUAUUAAGUCCCUCUUUCUUAGGUGUUGGAGAAUGGCGUGUCCAUCUCUGAAAUACAGUGGCACAGGAUUACGGUCUUGUCUGCGUAGUAAUAUCUCGCACGCAUUACCAGUCUCAGUGCAGAAAAAAAAACUUUAGUUAACCUCGAAUCAGGUAGGAAUACCCGCUGAACUUAAGCAUAUCAAUAAGCGGAGGA